rnacentral:rRNA from 1 species
UUCCGGUUGAUCCUGCCGGACCUGACUGCUAUCGGAUUGAUACUAAGCCAUGCGAGUUUUUGUAGCAAUACAAGGCAGACGGCUCAGUAACACGUAGUCAAUCUAACCUAUGGAUGAGGAUAACCUCGGGAAACUGAGAAUAAUACUCAAUAGAUCAUUAUACCUGGAACGGUUUAUGGUUCAAAUGAAUUUCGCCAUAGGGUGGGACUGCGGUCUAUCAGCUUGUUGGUGAGGUAAUGGCCCACCAAGGCUAUAACAGAUACGGGCUCUGAGAGGAGAAGCCCGGAGAUGGGUACUGAGACACGGACCCAGGCCCUAUGGGGCGCAGCAGGCGAGAAAACUUUGCAAUGUGCGAAAGCACGACAAGGUUAAUCCGAGUGAUUCCUGCUAAAGGAAUCUUUUGUUAGUCAUAAUACCACUGAUGAAUAAGGGGUGGGCAAGUUCUGGUGUCAGCCGCCGCGGUAAAACCAGCACCUCAAGUGGUCAGGAGGAUUAUUGGGCCUAAAGCAUCCGUAGCCUGCUCUGUAAGUUUUCGGUUAAAUCUAUAUGCUCAACAUAUAGGCUGCCGGAAAUACUGCAGAGCUAGGAAGUGGGAGAGGUAGACGGUACUCCGUAGGAAGGGGUAAAAUCCUUUGAUCUAUGGAUGACCACCUGUGGCGAAGGCGGUCUACCAGAACACGUUCGACGGUGAGGGAUGAAAGCUGGGGGAGCAAACCGGAUUAGAUACCCGGGUAGUCCCAGCUGUAAACUAUGCAAACUCGGUGAUGCAUUGGCUUGUGGCCAGUGCAGUGCCGCAGGGAAGCCGUUAAGUUUGCCGCCUGGGAAGUACGUACGCAAGUAUGAAACUUAAAGGAAUUGGCGGG